CCUACGGGAGGCAGCAGUGGGGGAUAUUGCACAAUGGGGGAAACCCUGAUGCAGCGACGCCGCGUGAGUGAAGAAGUAUUUCGGUAUGUAAAGCUCUAUCAGCAGGGAAGAAAAUGACAGUACCUGACCAAGAAGCCCCGGCUAACUACGUGCCAGCAGCCGCGGUAAUACGUAGGGGGCAAGCGUUAUCCGGAUUUACUGGGUGUAAAGGGAGCGUAGACGGUUAUGUAAGUCUGGAGUGAAAGCCGGGGGCCCAACCCCGGGACUGCUUUGGAAACUGUGUAACUGGAGUACAGGAGCGGCAGGCGGAAUUCCUGGUGUAGCGGUGAAAUGCGUAGAUAUCAGGAGGAACACCAGCGGCGAAGGCGGCCUGCUGGACUGAAACUGACGUUGAGGCUCGAAAGCGUGGGUAGCAAACAGGAUUAGAUACCCUUGUAGUC
rnacentral:rRNA from 1 species